rnacentral:rRNA from 1 species
AUUGAACGCUGGCGGCAUGCUUUACACAUGCAAGUCGAACGGCAGCGCGGGCUUCGGCCUGGCGGCGAGUGGCGAACGGGUGAGUAAUACAUCGGAACGUGCCCAGUAGUGGGGGAUAGCUCGGCGAAAGCCGGAUUAAUACCGCAUACAACCUGAGGGUGAAAGCGGGGGAUCUUCGGACCUCGCGCUAUUGGAGCGGCCGAUGGCAGAUUAGCUAGUUGGUGGGGUAAAGGCCUACCAAGGCGACGAUCUGUAGCUGGUCUGAGAGGACGACCAGCCACACUGGGACUGAGACACGGCCCAGACUCCUACGGGAGGCAGCAGUGGGGAAUUUUGGACAAUGGGCGAAAGCCUGAUCCAGCAAUGCCGCGUGUGUGAUGAAGGCCUUCGGGUUGUAAAGCACUUUUGGCGGGAACGAAAAGGACUGUGCCAAUACCACGGUUCGAUGACGGUACCCGCAGAAUAAGCACCGGCUAACUACGUG